AAAAGGGCAAAAGCUCGUUCGAUCUCGAUUUUCAGUAUGAAUACGGACCGCGAAAGCGUGGCCCAUCGAUCCUUUCCGAACAGCGGCGAGCUGG